rnacentral:rRNA from 1 species
GACGAACGCUGGCGGCGUGCUUAACACAUGCAAGUCGAACGAAGAGCGAUGGAAGCUUGCUUCUAUCAAUCUUAGUGGCGAACGGGUGAGUAACGCGUAAUCAACCUGCCCUUCAGAGGGGGACAACAGUUGGAAACGACUGCUAAUACCGCAUACGAUCUAAUCUCGGCAUCGAGGAUAGAUGAAAGGUGGCCUCUACAUGUAAGCUAUCACUGAAGGAGGGGAUUGCGUCUGAUUAGCUAGUUGGAGGGGUAACGGCCCACCAAGGCGAUGAUCAGUAGCCGGUCUGAGAGGAUGAACGGCCAAAUUGGGACUGAGACACGGCCCAGACUCCUACGGGAGGCAGCAGUGGGGAAUCUUCCGCAAUGGACGAAAGUCUGACGGAGCAACGCCGCGUGAGUGAUGACGGCCUUCAGGUUGUAAAGCUCUGUUAAUCGGGACGAAAGGCCUUCUUGCGAAUAGGGAGAAGGAUUGACGGUACCGGAAUAGAAAGCCACGGCUAACUACGUG